GGCUGGAAACGGCCGCUAAUACCCCAUAUGCCGAGAGGUGAAAUGAAUUUCGCCUGAGGAUGAGCCCGCGUCUGAUUAGCUAGUUGGUGUGGUAAUGGCUCACCAAGGCUUCGAUCAGUAGCUGGUCUGAGAGGAUGAUCAGCCACACUGGGACUGAGACACGGCCCAGACUCCUACGGGAGGCAGCAGUGGGGAAUUUUCCGCAAUGGGCGAAAGCCUGACGGAGCAACGCCGCGUGAGGGAUGAAGGCCUCUGGGCUGUAAACCUCUUUUUUCAAGGAAGAAGACCUGACGGUACUUGAAGAAUAAGCCACGGCUAAUUCCGUGCCAGCAGCCGCGGUAAUACGGGAGUGGCAAGCGUUAUCCGGAAUUAUUGGGCGUAAAGCGUCCGCAGGCGGCCCUGAAAGUCUGUCGUUAAAGCGUGGAGCUCAACUCCAUUUAAGCGAUGGAAACUACAGGGCUAGAGUGCGGUAGGGGCAGAGGGAAUUCCCGGUGUAGCGGUGAAAUGCGUAGAUAUCGGGAAGAACACCAGUGGCGAAGGCGCUCUGCUGGGCCAUAACUGACGCUCAUGGACGAAAGCCAGGGUAGCGAAAGGGAUUAGAUACCCCUGUAGUCCUGGCCGUAAACGAUGAACACUAGGUGUCGGGGGAAUCGACCCCCUCGGUGUCGUAGCCAACGCGUUAAGUGUUCCGCCUGGGGAGUACGCACGCAAGUGUGAAACUCAAAGGAAUUGACGGGGGCCCGCACAAGCGGUGGAGUAUGUGGUUUAAUUCGAUGCAACGCGAAGAACCUUACCAGGGUUUGACAUCCUGCGAAUCCCUUGGAAACGAGGGAGUGCCUUCGGGAGCGCAGAGACAGGUGGUGCAUGGCUGUCGUCAGCUCGUGUCGUGAGAUGUUGGGUUAAGUCCCGCAACGAGCGCAACCCACGUCGUUAGUUGCCAGCACUCAGUUGGGCACUCUAGCGAGACCGCCGGUGAUAAACCGGAGGAAGGUGUGGAUGACGUCAAGUCAUCAUGCCCCUUACAUCCUGGGCUACACACGUACUACAAUGCUACGGACAAAGGGCAGCAAGCUCGCGAGAGUUAGCAAAUCCCAUAAACCGUGGCUCAGUUCAGAUCGUAGGCUGCAACUCGCCUACGUGAAGGAGGAAUCGCUAGUAAUCGCAGGUCAGCAUACUGCGGUGAAUACGUUCCCGGGCCUUGUACACACCGCCCGUCACACCAUGGAAGUUGGCCACGCCCGAAGUCGUUACUCCAACCCUUGUGGAGGAGGACGCCGUAGGUGGGGCUGAUGACUGGGGUGAAGUCGAAACAAGGUA
rnacentral:rRNA from 1 species